rnacentral:tRNA from 1 species
UCCCUGUUGGUCCAGUGUUUAAGACUCUGUGCUUCCAAUGCAGGGACACAGGUUCAAUCCCUGGUUGGGGAA